rnacentral:lncRNA from 1 species
GGCCAAAUUUAUACUAUUUUUAUUUUUUCCUCUCAGCAUUUGCUGAGACUGAUAAUGAGAAUGGCGAGAAAAGUCUGCAUUGUCCCAAAGUCCCUUCGCCUACUCCUCCAGUGCCACCCCCAAAACCAGCAUUUGCUGAGACUAAUAAUGAAAAUGGUGAGACAAUUGUGCAAUGUCCCAAAGUCCCUUCACCUACUCCUCCAGUGCCACCCCCAAAACCAGUCCCAAACAAUCAAAGAUCCAGUUCCGAGCCAAACACCUACAUCAAUGUCUCAAAUGCUGGAGAGUAUGAGGUGGAUCAUGCAGCAUGUUCUCCACCUCCUGUCCUGCCACGUCUUCCAGCAGGGCGAUAUUUGCCUCAUCAGAAUUCAAUGCCUCCAGAUCUAAUCAGCAGUUCAGAUGUUGAAAGGAAACCUUUGGUACCUUCUGGCUACCCUAAAAAAAGUUCCCGAAGCAACAGCUUGUCAGGCAUGCCUAACAAUAUUCCCAAGUGUCAGCAACAACAUGUUGACAUAAGUAAGAACAAUUUUCUUGUUUUUGUGCCACUAUUUCACUCUAAAUCUUUUACUUUCAAUUUGAU